GGCUAGUUAGCUCAGUUGGUUAGAACAUGAUGCUAAUAAAUUCAAGGUCGUGGGUUCAAUCCCCGUACGGGCCA